rnacentral:rRNA from 1 species
GGCCUUGACAUACUAAGAACUUUCCAGAGAUGGAUUGGUGCCUUCGGGAACUUAGAUACAGGUGCUGCAUGGCUGCCGUCAGCUCGUGUCGUGAGAUGUUGGGUUAAGUCCCGNAACGAGCGCAACCUUUUCCUAUUUGCCAGCGGGUCAUGCCGGGAACUUUAAGGAUACUGCCAGUGACAAACUGGAGGAAGGCGGGGACGACGUCAAGUCAUCAUGGCCCUUACGGCCAGGGCUACACACGUGCUACAAUGGUCGGUACAAAGGGUUGCUACCUCGCGAGAGGAUGCUAAUCUCAAAAAGCCGAUCGUAGUCCGGAUCGCAGUCUGCAACUCGACUGCGUGAAGUCGGAAUCGCUAGUAAUCGCGGAUCAGAAUGCCGCGGUGAAUACGUUCCCGGGCCUUGUACACACCGCCCGUCACACCAUGGGAGUUUGUUGCACCAGAAGUAGGUAGUCUAACCGCAAGGAGGACGCUUACCACGGUGUGGCCGAUGACUGGGGUGAAGUCGUAACAAGGUAGGCGUAGAUGA